AACCGGGGGAACUGAAACAUCUAAGUACCCGAAGGAAAGGACAUCAACCGAGACUCCGUCAGUAGCGGCGAGCGAACGCGGACCAGGCCAGUGGCGAUUGGGAGACAAGCGGAACAUUCUGGAAAGGAUGGCCAUAGUGGGUGACAGCCCCGUACGCGUAAUGCAACCAAUCGUCCUCGAGUAAGGCGGGACACGUGAAAUCCUGUCUGAACAUGGGGGGACCACCCUCCAAGCCUAAGUACUCGUGCAUGACCGAUAGCGAACCAGUACCGUGAGGGAAAGGUGAAAAGAACCCCGACAAGGGGAGUGAAAGAGUCCCUGAAACCGGAUGCUUACAAACAGUAGGAGGGCGAAAGCCUGACUGCGUACCUUUUGUAUAAUGGGUCAGCGACUUAAUCUGACGAGCAAGCUUAAGCCGAUAGGUGUAGGCGCAGCGAAAGCGAGUCUGAACAGGG
rnacentral:rRNA from 1 species